AUGUCAUCAUGCUUCCCCAGUUCAGGAAUUCAGUUCCUAUGUCGGCAGUCACAGAGUUUCCUAGCAACAAGGGCUUUUCCAAGUGAGGAGAUAAGGGCCUGCAUUGUAUUAGGGUCGGGGAAUCGAUGUACUAUUCCAUUGAGCAUCUCUCCAAGGCUCUACCGUGUGCUGUCAGGAGAUGCCGAAGAAGGAGGCGGCUCCUUUGGGAGAUGCUAUCUGCUGAGAAACCUGCCCUGUCUUCGAGAUCCCCGGGAGCAUGGAGGGUAGCCCAGGCUAUCCUAACUCUUCUCCAGCGGCUAUAAUGGAUAUUUGUGGUGUUCAACGAGAACUACAGCCCCCAGGAUCCACACUUUCCCGUGGCCCCUCCCACACUGACUCUGGGAUUGGAUGCUUAGUUUUCUUUAGCCAAUGGGAUGUCAGCCAGCCUGAAACUCGCAGGCCCUUGGUAAGUGCUUCCAGGAUAGGCUUGUCUUAGAACCUGCCCAUCAAGCUUGAUGCCUAGAUAAUGUGGGGCACCGGAAGGAGGCGCUGAAGGAGUCUAUUUUGGACAUUUCUCCCGUUUCAACGGAACUCUCAAAUGGAGGGCAGCCACCAAAUGAUCCCAGCUAAGCCACUCAGCGGAGUCCAAUCUAUUCACAGUUUCACGAGAAAGAAGAACCCAUCUCUGUUUUGAGUCAAUACAUUCUGGGUGGCUUACUUGGCAGACACAAGUCUGGAACAGGAUGGCCACGGUGAAAAUCCAGGCUGAGCAUCCAGGCUGAGCCAGACGUGAGGGCCUUCUCUGUUACUCUCCACAGUCUUGCCUUGGCCCAGGGUGUUUCAGUGAGCACAAAGCUCUCUCUUUUGACAAGGAUGACGGGCCAGUGAACGUGGAGGAGCUUCCUGUGUGUUCAAUGCUGGGGUUACAGGCACAAGCCUUCCGAUGGGGACAGCAGGCUGGGGACCUUGAGCCCCUGAGCAUCCUGUCCCUGGAGACCGGUUGCAACCUGGAGUGAUGCAGGUGUGAACCAAUGGCCAGCUACAUACAACGUAAAUGAGAGGUUACCUCCCACGGUUCCUCUAUGAUGCUAAGACCUUGACCUGAGAGCUGAAUCUGGUGGCCUGCA
rnacentral:lncRNA from 1 species